rnacentral:rRNA from 1 species
CCUACGGUGUGCUGCAGUGGGGAAUAUUGGGCAAUGGGCGCAAGCCUGACCCAGCAACGCCGCGUGAAGGAAGAAGGCUUUCGGGUUGUAAACUUCUUUUGUCAGGGAAGAGUAGAAGACGGUACCUGACGAAUAAGCCACGGCUAACUACGUUCCAGCAGCCGCGGUAAUACGUAGGUGGCAAGCGUUGUCCGGAUUUACUGGGUGUAAAGGGCGUGUAGCCGGGUUGACAAGUCAGAUGUGAAAUCCUGCGGCUUAACCGCAGAACUGCAGUUGAAACUGUUGAUCUGGAGUACUGGAGGGGCAGACGGAAUUCCGAGUGUAGCGGUGAAAUGCGUAGAUAUUAGGAGGAACACCAGUGGCGAAGGCGGUCUGCUGGACAGCGACUGACGGUGAGGCGCGAAAGCGGGGGGAGCAAACAGGAUUAGAUACCCGGGUAGUC